CAAAAGUAGUGCAUUUUUGGAGGACCGACUUGGGUGCAGCAACUUUUUGACGAGUCUGAACAACGUAGCCUGUGGUACCAUUUACAGCAAAACCAUCCAUUCUACACUUCCGUGGCCUUCUAUAUUGUUGGAUCAUCUGUUACCUGGCAAUCAUUAUGGUGGUUAAACUCUUUGAAUCUCAACUAAAGCUUGCUGUAAUAUUUUCAUUUUGUAGCUAUACUGCCGUUGGUGUCUUUGUUCUUGGACGGAUGUUUCGUGAGACAUGGGGUACUCAAGCAAGUAAGAAGCAAGCAGAGUUCAAUGACUUUCUUGAGCGCAAUCGCAUGUGUAUAUCAAUGGAGUUGGUCACGGCGGUG
rnacentral:misc_RNA from 1 species